GACGAACGCUGGCGGCGUGCUUAACACAUGCAAGUCGAACGAGAGGAGAAGGAAGCUUGCUUCUUUCAAAUCUAGUGGCAAACGGGUGAGUAACACGUAAACAACCUGCCUUCAGGAUGGGGACAACAGACGGAAACGACUGCUAAUACCGAAUACGUUCCUUAGGUCGCAUGACUUUAGGAAGAAAGGGUGGCUCUUCGGAGCUUUCGCUGAAGGAGGGACUUGCGUCUGAUUAGCUAGUUGGAGGGGUAACGGCCCACCAAGGCGACGAUCAGUAGCCGGUCUGAGAGGAUGAACGGCCACAUUGGGACUGAGACACGGGUCCAGACUCCUACGGGAGGCAGCAGUGGGGAAUCUUCCGCAAUGGACGAAAGUCUGACGGAGCAACGCCGCGUGAGUGAAGAAGGUUUUCGGAUCGUAAAGCUCUGUUGAGAGGGACGAGAGGCAAGGCUAGGAAAUGAGCUUUGUAGGACGGUACCUUUCGAGGAAGCCACGGCUAACUACGUGCCAGCA
rnacentral:rRNA from 1 species